UACGAAGGGGGCGAGCGUUGUUCGGAAUCACUGGGCGUAAAGGGCGCGUAGGCGGCUGUAUAAGUCGGGGGUGAAAGCCUGUGGCUCAACCACAGAAUUGCCUUCGAUACUGUAUGGCUUGAGACCGGAAGAGGUAAGUGGAACUGCGAGUGUAGAGGUGAAAUUCGUAGAUAUUCGCAAGAACACCAGUGGCGAAGGCGGCUUACUGGUCCGGUUCUGACGCUGAGGCGCGAAAGCCAGGGGAGCAAACGGG
rnacentral:rRNA from 1 species